rnacentral:rRNA from 1 species
AUUGAACGCUGGCGGCAGGCCUAACACAUGCAAGUCGAACGAGUGGCGGACGGGUGAGUAAUGUCUGGGAAAAUGCCCGAUGGAGGGGGAUAAAUACUGGAAACGGUAGCUAAUACCGCAUACCAUCAGAUGUGCCCAGAUGUGAUUAGCAAGUAGGUGGGGUAAAGGCUCCACAAGGCGACGAUCCCUAGCUGGUAUGAGAGGAUGACCAGCCACACUGUAACUGAGACACGGUCCAGACUCCUACGGUAGGCAGCAGUGGGGAAUAUUGCACAAUGGGCGCAAGCCUGGUGCAGCCAUGCCGCGUGUAGUAAGAAGGCCUUCGGGUUGUAAAGUACUUUCAGCGAGGAGGCGUUACUCGCAGAAGAAGCACCGGCUAACUCCGUGCCAGCAGCCGCGGUAAUUC